rnacentral:rRNA from 1 species
CGUGCUUAGGAUGUUGGCAUAAUGGCUUUAAGCGACCCGUCUUGAAACACGGACCAAGGAGUCUAACAUGCUUGCGAGUGUUCGGGUGGAAAACCCUUGCGCGUAAUGAAAGUGAAAGUUGGGAGCCUCCGCAAGGGGGUGCACCGACGCCCGGCCCUGACGUUCUCUGACGGUGCUGCGGUAGAGCAAGUAUGUUGGGACCCGAAAGAUGGUGAACUAUGCCUGAAUAGGGCGAAGCCAGAGGAAACUCUGGUGGAGGCUCGUAGCGAUUCUGACGUGCAAAUCGAUCGUCAAAUUUGGGUAUAGGGG